rnacentral:rRNA from 1 species
GAUGAACGCUGGCGGCGUGCCUAAUACAUGCAAGUCGAGCGAACAGACGAGGAGCUUGCUCCUCUGACGUUAGCGGCGGACGGGUGAGUAACACGUGGAUAACCUACCUAUAAGACUGGGAUAACUUCGGGAAACCGGAGCUAAUACCGGAUAAUAUAUUGAACCGCAUGGUUCAAUAGUGAAAGACGGUUUUGCUGUCACUUAUAGAUGGAUCCGCGCCGCAUUAGCUAGUUGGUAAGGUAACGGCUUACCAAGGCAACGAUGCGUAGCCGACCUGAGAGGGUGAUCGGCCACACUGGAACUGAGACACGGUCCAGACUCUUACGGGAGGCAGCAGUAGGGAAUCUUCCGCAAUGGGCGAAAGCCUGACGGAGCAACGUCGCGUGAGUGAUGAAGGUCUUCGGAUCGUAAAACUCUGUUAUUAGGGAAGAACAAAUGUGUAAGUAACUAUGCACGUCUUGACGGUACCUAAUCAGAAAGCCACGGCUAACUACGUG